UGUAUAGACAUUGUCUAGGUGCAUUUAGGUGUAUAGACAUUGUGUAGGUGUAUUUAGGUGUAUAGAAUAGACAGUGUAGGUGUAUUUAGGUGUAUAGUGUAGACAUUGUGUAGGUUUAUUUAGGUGUAUAGACAUUGUGUAGGUGUAUUUAGGUGUAUAGACAUUGUGUAGGUGUAUAGACAUUGUGUAGGUGUAUUUAGGUGUAUAGAGUAGACAUUGUGUAGGUGUAUUUAGGUGUAUAGACAUUGUGUAGGUGUAUUUAGGUGUAUAGAGUAGACAUUGUGUAGGUGUAUUUAGGUGUAUAGACAUUGUGUAGGUGUAUUUAGGUGUAUAGAGUAGACAUUGUGUAGGUGUAUUUAGGUGUAUAGACAUUGUGUAGGUGUAUUUAGGUGUAUAGAGUA